rnacentral:rRNA from 1 species
UACGUAGGUGGCAAGCGUUAUCCGGAAUUAUUGGGCGUAAAGCGCGCGCAGGCGGUCCUUCAAGUCAGAGGUGAAAGCCCAGAGCUCAACUCUGGAAUGGCCUUUGAAACUGGAGGACUUGGGUACGGGAGAGGUGAGUGGAAUUCCGAGUGUAGAGGUGAAAUUCGUAGAUAUUCGGAAGAACACCAGUGGCGAAGGCGGCUCACUGGCCCGUUACCGACGCUCAGGCGCGACAGCGUGGGGAGCAAACAGG